GAUGAACGCUGGCGGCGUGCCUAAUACAUGCAAGUCGAGCGAACGGACGAGAAGCUUGCUUCUCUGAUGUUAGCGGCGGACGGGUGAGUAACACGUGGAUAACCUACCUAUAAGACUGGGAUAACUUCGGGAAACCGGAGCUAAUACCGGAUAAUAUUUUGAACCGCAUGGUUCAAAAGUGAAAGACGGUCUUGCUGUCACUUAUAGAUGGAUCCGCGCUGCAUUAGCUAGUUGGUAAGGUAACGGCUUACCAAGGCAACGAUGCAUAGCCGACCUGAGAGGGUGAUCGGCCACACUGGAACUGAGACACGGUCCAGACUCCUACGGGAGGCAGCAGUAGGGAAUCUUCCGCAAUGGGCGAAAGCCUGACGGAGCAACGCCGCGUGAGUGAUGAAGGUCUUCGGAUCGUAAAACUCUGUUAUUAGGGAAGAACAUAUGUGUAAGUAACUGUGCACAUCUUGACGGUACCUAAUCAGAAAGCCACGGCUAACUACGUGCCAGCAGCCGCGGUAAUACGUANGUGGCAAGCGUUAUCCGGAAUUAUUGGGCGUAAAGCGCGCGUAGCGGUUUUUUAAGUCUGAUGUGAAAGCCCACGGCUCAACCGUGGAGGGUCAUUGGAAACUGGAAAACUUGAGUGCAGAAGAGGAAAGUGGAAUUCCAUGUGUAGCGGUGAAAUGCGCAGAGAUAUGGAGGAACACCAGUGGCGAAGGCGACUUUCUGGUCUGUAACUGACGCUGAUGUGCGAAAGCGUGGGGAUCAAACAGGAUUAGAUACCCUGGCAGUCCACGCCGUAAACGAUGAGUGCUAAGUGUUAGGGGGUUUCCGCCCCUUAGUGCUGCAGCUAACGCAUUAAGCACUCCGCCUGGGGAGUACGACCGCAAGGUUGAAACUCAAAGGAAUUGACGGGGACCCGCACAAGCGGUGGAGCAUGUGGUUUAAUUCGAAGCAACGCGAAGAACCUUACCAAAUCUUGACAUCCUUUGACAACUCUAGAGAUAGAGCUUUCCCCUUCGGGGGACAAAGUGACAGGUGGUGCAUGGUUGUCGUCAGCUCGUGUCGUGAGAUGUUGGGUUAAGUCCCGCAACGAGCGCAACCCUUAAGCUUAGUUGCCAUCAUUAAGUUGGGCACUCUAAGUUGACUGCCGGUGACAAACCGGAGGAAGGUGGGGAUGACGUCAAAUCAUCAUGCCCCUUAUGAUUUGGGCUACACACGUGCUACAAUGGACAAUACAAAGGGCAGCGAAACCGCGAGGUCAAGCAAAUCCCAUAAAGUUGUUCUCAGUUCGGAUUGUAGUCUGCAACUCGACUACAUGAAGCUGGAAUCGCUAGUAAUCGUAGAUCAGCAUGCUACGGUGAAUACGUUCCCGGGUCU
rnacentral:rRNA from 1 species